GACAGAGGGUGCAAACGUUGUUCGGAAUUACUGGGGCGUAAAGCGAGUGUAGGCGGUCUCCUAAGUCGGGUGUGAAAGCCCCGGGCUCAACCCGGGAAGUGCACUCGAAACUGGGAGGCUAGAGUAUCGGAGAGGUUGGUGGAAUUCUCGGUGUAGAGGUGAAAUUCGUAGAUAUCGAGAGGAACACCGGUGGCGAAGGCGGCCACCUGGACGGUAACUGACGCUGAGACGCGAAAGCGUGGGUAGCAAACAGG
rnacentral:rRNA from 1 species